CCUACGGGUGGCUGCAGUAGGGAAUUUUCGGCAAUGGGGGGAACCCUGACCGAGCAACGCCGCGUGAAGGAAGAAGGAGUUCGUUCUGUAAACUUCUGUCAGCAAGGAAGAAAGUCGGAGGGAGGAAAUGACAUCCGAGUGACGGUACUUUAUGAGAAAGCCACGGCAAACUACGUGCCAGCAGCCGCGGUAAUACGUAGGUGGCAAGCGUGAUCCGGAAUUAUUGGGCGGAAAGAGGGAGCAGGCGGCAGCAAAGGUCUGUGGUGAAAGACUGAAGCUUAACUUCAGUAAGCCAUAGAAACCGGGCAGCUGGAGUGCAGGAGAGGAUCGUGGAAUUCCAUGUGUAGCGGUGAAAUGCGUAGAUAUAUGGAGGAACACCAGUGGCGAAGGCGACGAUCUGGCCUGCAACUGACGCUCAGUCCCGAAAGCGUGGGGAGCAAAUAGGAUUAGAUACCCGGGUAGUC
rnacentral:rRNA from 1 species